rnacentral:rRNA from 1 species
UACGUAGGGGGCAAGCGUUGUCCGGAUUUAUUGGGCGUAAAGAGCGUGUAGGCGGCCAUGCAGGUCCGUUGUGAAAACUCGAGGCUCAACCUCGAGACGUCGAUGGAAACCGCACGGCUAGAGUCCGGAAGAGGAGAGUGGAAUUCCUGGUGUAGCGGUGAAAUGCGCAGAUAUCAGGAGGAACACCGGUGGCGAAGGCGGGACUCUGGGCCGAUACUGACGCUGAGGAGCGAAAGCGUGGGGAGCAAACAGG